CUCUAUCCAUUGUUCAUAUAUAAUCAUAUAUGCUCACAUUUCUUGCUUCUAAAGCAUAACUUAUGUACCUGAAAUUAUAGUUUAUUCAGGCUAAGUAUUCAUCCUGAAAAUAUAAGCUAUUUUGCAUCUUUCUAUGAUAUAAUCAUGAAGUCCUUUGUGUCAUUACAAUUACAAUGAAUUUUCUACCUGAGUUAGAAACCUUACAUGCAUGAUGCAACCUAUUACUGUUCAGAAAACUGGUCAAACAAGAACAAGUCAUUUUGAAGAAAUUCAUACAUAAAUAGAGAGGUUGGUUGAUAGAGACAACCCAUUUCCCAUAUACCAAAAAAGGUGCUAAUAUGUAAUUUCACCUUUGUCUAUCGCAUGAUCAGUACAGUUCAUAAUCAUCAUGAAUGUUGUUACCUACUCACGCCAGCUUCUAUCAAUUAACAACACUCACUCUCCAUUGUCUCAUAUACCUUCUUAUGACAAAUCACAGUGCUGCACCAAGUACUAAAUUAUUCUUUUCUAAUUAAUUAAUUAGUUAAUGUAUAUGUAAGUUACUAGUGAUAUGCACGCUGCACGCAUAAUCAUAAUCAUAAUCAAACCCCUUCUCUUUUUGUGUUCAGGAAAUGGAAGAGGGUGAUUUUUCAUUUUCUUAUUCAUCAUUUUUAAAUUGUUUUCAGAGAAUAUUUAUGAUGACUGAAAGAAGAUGAAAAUAUAA